GGGCAGGCAGCUAGGGAGUGUGUCGGCCACGUGAUGAGCCUGCCAUGGUGUCCAGAUGGACAUGUGGUAUUUGGUUUAAAGCCCACGCUACUGGGGCAUAAACAGCUGAGGAUAAAUGAUCAGACUCAAUUGUUCUCUCCUUUCCCAGGAAAGGCCAGGAAGGAAAAGGCCCCAGUUUAAGGGAGAAGGCAUUGUCCUCAGUGGAUGAAGCAUAGUCAGGUAGCCCGGUCUGGCAGGGGGCCAGUGGGGAGCACGAGAUUCUCAUGGCUGCUGUGGCUGGUGGCCGCCUUUACAACAAUAGCAUAUUGGACUCCUGUCCUUCCCAUCCCACCUCUGAAAUGAUCACACCCAUGUUAAAUCUCUGAUAAGAUACUAUCAGAUACUCCAAAGUCCAGUUUGGAACUACAGUCUUUGCUUGACUCAAUCCAGAAUCCUUUCUCUCUCCCUGGUCCUAUCUCCCCAUCUAAUCCCCCUCAAUUCUUCUUUCUAUCCAGCUGCUAAGGUCCCUGGGCCAUCAGAAGCGAAUAGAACAAACCUAAGACAUCACUCUCCAUCAAGAGGCCUGCAUGACUCUUUAUUUACAUCAUCUUCCAGGAAGAGGAGGAGGAGCUGCUUUGGGGACACCCACUUCCUCUCCUUACGUAACAACACACUGCAUUUGCACAAGUGUCCUUGGUUGUAAAGGGUUCCACACUCACUUUCUUAUUCAGGGCUUAUUACAAGCCUCUCAGGUAGCUAUGGUCAUGGUACCCUGAUCCCUUGUCAAAGAUGAGCCCACUGAGGCUCAGGGUGACUACCGUUGUGCCAGGAGUUGCUAAGUGGUGGAUCACAGACUCCAGUUCAGGGGGAGGUAGGGUGGUAAAGAAGCAGCUGGAUGAACCUGGGUUUGAAUCCUGCUCAGAAAUGUUCCAUCUGUGUGACACCACAGGCAAGUGACUUAACCUGAUUGAGCCUCAGCUUCCUGAUCUAGAAAAAAGGGUGAUCAUGCAUCCCUCAUAGAGCUGUGGUGAGCAUUUACGAAUCACGAGUGAAACAUGCAUAGCAUGGGGUUUGGCAGAUAGAAGUCCAGUAAAUGUCUAAGCCCAUCUCCAGCGUUUCUUCUGGUUCCAAGCUCAGGACUAUCCUUUAAGCUAAGUGGUAGAUACUCAAUGAACGUGUUUUGGAUGAUUUAGCCCUCUCCUUUCCCCCAUCCCUCCCCAAGUGAGAGGAUGUUUAUUUGCAGCUCUGUGCUGCAGAGAGCUCUGCAAACAAGGAUUGGCAGCAGUAACUUUCUCCAGCUGGCACAACAAUGAAAGGCCACAGGCCCUGGGGCUGCUCCCUAUGGAUGUCCAGGGAACAGAGGCCAGGCAGCAGGCUGACUGCUCCGGGCACUCCCUGUGGCUUCUUCACUCUAGCUGGCUACCCAGUAUACUGAGUAGCAAAAUGGCCUUUGAAAAGGCCCACCCUGUGGCCAUGAUUUCUAGCAGACCAAAUGAGAGUGUUCUCCUGGGAGCACUGUCAACUCCUCUUGCUGGAGACAAUUCUCUGGGAGCUCCUCAGACCCUACUGGAGCACUGUGUGCUUGGCUUUCUGAAUGCUUAGAGGUGACAGGUGCUUUAGCAGACAUCCAAUCCACAGCGGUUGCCCAGGCAGCACUACACCCCCCACUGUCACUUCAACCGGAGUAACUCCAACCUCAUCUGCUUUAGCUAUGGGUCCUUCAGGUAAAUGUGGCUGGAAUGGCUGGAAGAAAGGGUCGGGUCUCAAUGUUGUUUCAAAAUAAAAGCUGAAGACAACUGACCUAAUGCAACUCGCUCAAUAUUCACAGGGGGAACCGAGGCGCGGACAAGGCAAGUGACCCCCAAGGUCAUACAAUUCUGCCAAGUGCUGAGCAAACACUGCGGACUGGACUUCUGGUCUACUGCUUUCCAUGGCAUCAGCUAAGAUGACUGCUCUGAACCUGGGGCUGCGGCAGCCUCUGAUGAUGGCCGUGAACAAAUAGAAGCUGAGGGUGAAGGACCUACAGCUGUCACCUUCAUCUCUUCUCAACACUGCCAACUGUCUCCUUGGAUCUCCCAGACAGACGACUAGGGACAUCUCUGGUUUCUCGGUGCUCCCUAGAAACCUAGGGUCAUUUCAAGGCAUUAUGCAAAUGAGCUUUCCUUCUCUUCACCUCAUCUCCUGAUCUGCACAAAAAUGACCGUAGGACCCACUGUAGGUACCAAUGUAGGCACCAAUCCUCAGUUUACCACCUGCUCUCUACUUGCUUCCCUGCCAUAACUUUCUAAAAGGGAUGUGAGCCAUGUUUAAAGUCACCUGGUCACUGGAGGGAUCUUGUUCUACACUCUACAUCAGUGGUUGCCAACCUUUUUGGCACCAGGGACUGGUGUUGUGGAAGACAAUUUUUCCACGGACUGGGGGAUGGGGGGAGUGGUUUCAGGAUAAAACUGCUCCACCUCAAAUCAUCAGGCAUUAGAUUCUCAUAAGGAGCACACAACCUAGAUUGCUAGCAGGCACAGUUCACAAUAGGGUUCGUUCUCCUGUGAGAAUGGCAUGCCGCUGCUGAUCUAACAGAGGCAGAGCUCAGGUGGUAAUGGGAGCAAGGGGGAGCGGCUCUAAAUACAGCUUGCCGCUCACCUCCUGCUGUGCAGCCCAGUUCCUAACAGGCCACAGAUGGUACUGGUCUGUAGCCCAGGAGUUUGGGAAUCCUGCUCUACAGAGUUUCCAACCUCAGAGAUGAAGCAUCCCCUCUGUAAGUCAGAAAGAAAUUAUUCAAGUAGGAGAAUUAAAACAGGAUCACAGAGAGGGAGGCUGAAGAAUUUGUCUUUCUGUGUUUACUUGUAUGAGGAAAAACGGCACAUGGAGGCAUCCACAGUAUUUAAUUUGUUUGUAUACUAGUUACAGAUAAACAGGUACACCCCAUAUACAAUUACCAAUACUUUUUAUACAGUUCAUAUUUCGGUACAUCAACACUAUUUUAUUUACACUCUAUUUAUGUACAUUAACAUCUUUCUAAAGUCAGUGCAUUGUCAACAAGUUUUAUACAGUAA
rnacentral:lncRNA from 1 species